UACGUAGGGGGCAAGCGUUGUCCGGAUUUAUUGGGCGUAAAGAGCUCGUAGGCGGUCUGUCACGUCGGCUGUGAAAACCCGGGGCUCAACCCCGGGCCUGCAGUCGAUACGGGCAGACUAGAGUGCGGUAGGGGAGACUGGAAUUCCUGGUGUAGCGGUGAAAUGCGCAGAUAUCAGGAGGAACACCGGUGGCGAAGGCGGGUCUCUGGGCCGUAACUGACGCUGAGGAGCGAAAGCGUGGGGAGCGAACAGG
rnacentral:rRNA from 1 species